UGCAGAAUCCCGUGAACCAUCGAGUUUUUGAACGCAAGUUGCGCCCGAAGCCAUUAGGCUGAGGGCACGUCUGCCUGGGCGUCUCAUAAUGCGUCGCUACACCCACCAGCUCCCAUUAGGGCGUCGGUGCUUGAAGCGGAUAUUGGCUCCCCGUGUGCAUUCGUGCGCGGUCGGCCUAAAAACGAGUCCCGACGAUCGACGUCGUGGCAAGUGGUGGUUGUCAAACUGUUGCAUGCUGCCGUGCGCGUUUCGAUCNCAUCGGUAGACUCAUUGACCCUGUAGCACCAUUUGCUUGGUGCCUCGAUCGCGACCCCAGGUCAGGCGGGAUUACCCGCUGAAUUUAAGCAUAUCAAUAAGCGGAGGAAAAGAAACUAACAAGGAUUCCCUUAGUAACGGCGAGCGAACCGGGAAGUGCCCAGCUUGAAAAUCGUGCGGCUCCGGCCGUCCGA
rnacentral:rRNA from 1 species